rnacentral:rRNA from 1 species
GACGGUUUUCGUUCGAUCACUGAAGUCAAGCAUCAUCGGGCGCGGUCAGUACUUGAGAGGGUGACCACCUGGGAACACCGUGUACUGUC